UGAAUAGGCUGUGCAAAAACUAUUGUGAACAGUACAUUUUGCAAAAUUGUGCACUGUAAACAGUAAAAUCUGCAGUGUGAACAGUAUUUUCUGCAGAAUUAUGCAUGUGAACAAUAUCACUUUCCUUCAAUGCUGCAAAAUUGCAAUUUUAACACACCAACAAACUCCCAAAUUAUGUUAAUACACUCUUAAUUUGAAAAUAAAAAUGCCAAAAAUCCAAAAUCUCAUCAAAUCAAAAUAAAGAACAAGAAAUGUGCAUUUUCAAAUUCUCAAUUCGAAGCCAACACAUCAAAAUCAGAAUUUACAUGCUAACUCAAUCCUUAAAUGGCACAAAUAAGUUAUUCACUCAACUUCCUCAGCUCAAGCAACCACUCAUUCAAAUUUUGACAGCAAAAUAUUAGAAAACUCAUAAUAACUCUUUAACUUGCUGCAUAAUCAUCAAAAUUCUGCACUAUGCCAAAUGAAACCAAAUUAGAUUUGAAAUAUUGAAAUUCACACGUGAACAGAAUAAAAUACUCCCUAAUGUUGCAGUUUCUCUUCUUCCAUCUCAUAAGCAUAUGUACAAGGCAAAAUUAGACAACUAUCAAAAAUUAAAUCUAGGGGUGAUUGAAAACUAAGCAAAACAAAAUUAAUCAAAUAAAAUUAACCAAAAAUAAAAAAUAAAAAGAACUUAGGAUGCCUCCCAAGAGUGCG
rnacentral:misc_RNA from 1 species